UUUUCUUGUAUGAACAAUUAUUGUGUGUUUUGUGAACAUUAUGAUGUUCAUUUCCCCUUAUGGCGGUCUUGAAGAUGGCGGAGGUCGAUGUCCGUUCCGACCCAAUUCCUUGUAUACGGUGAUGGUCGAUGUUCUCUCCGACCAUUUCAAUUGUAAAAAUUCAUUCAUUACCCGACAUAUGUCUCGGGCUUUCAAUUCGUGUUGUAAUAAACACCCGACGAGUUGCGUGUUUUAUUUUCUUACACUUAGAAUUGGCUUUGUCUUUUCAA